rnacentral:rRNA from 1 species
GAUGAACGCUGGCGGCGUGCCUAAUACAUGCAAGUCGAGCGGACGGACGAGAAGCUUGCUUUUCUGAUGUUAGCGGCGGACGGGUGAGUAACACGUGGAUACCCUACCUAUAAGACUGGGAUCACUUCGGGAAACCGGAUCUAAUACCGGAGAAUAUUUUGCACCGCAUGGGUCAAAAGUGAAAGACGGUCUUGCUGUCACUUAUAGAUGGAUCCGCGCUGCAUUGGCUAGUUGGUAAGGUAACGGCUUACCAAGGCAACGAUGCAUAGCCGACCUGAGAGGGUGAUCGGCCACACUGGAACUGAGACACGGUCCAGACUCCUACGGGAGGCAGCAGUAGGGAAUCUGCCGCAAUGGGCGAAAGCCUGACGGAGCAACGCCGCGUGAGUGAUGAAGGUCUUCGGAUCGUAAAGCUCUGUUAUUAGGGAAGAACAUAUGUGUAAGUAACUGUGCACAUCUUGACGGUACCUAAUCAGAAAGCCACGGCUAACUACGUG